AAACAUUCUUCCACGACGUGCUGUGCUGGAAUCCCUGAGCCUGCUCUGGCCUGGGAGGCUGCCUGAUUUGGCCUCUCUCAUGGAGCAACAGUCUUCCCACAGAGAGUAAAGUCAUCACAGUGGAGGCUUGCUCAACCUUUACAAAUUCUAAAACCACAGGCCAACAUUAACUUCCUCCAUUUCUCACCGGAAAUCAACAUGGCCACCACCAUCGUGCCUCAUCCUGCUCCUCUUGGACUGUAAAUCAUGGCUUGUUCAUUGUAAGCCGUCAAUUGCAUGUUGUUUCAGUUGUCUGCCAACUCAAUUCUAUCAGUGUGUUUUGACUGAUAGAAUUUUGUAAACUCCCUUUUACAUUUAUUUGUAUUUGACGAGAUGGUUUGAUUUUGUUGAGCUGUCUUCCUCUUUGUUAUCCCUCCUAUCACAGUUCUUGGAGCUCACUACCCCUUUUCAGAUUGUCAUGGGCAGGCAAAUUGCUGGUCCCCUCGCCUUGCAAGGUCCUUUGCAUAACCACACAGUUUUCACUUGAAAAGACAAUAGAGUUGCCAGAUAAAAUACAGGCCCCUGCAAGAUCUGGAACACACUCUGCACGAUGCCAUGCAGUAUUUGGGAUAUACUUAUGCCAAAACUUGUUCAUUAUUUAUGUGAAAUUCAAGUUUAAUUUGAAUUAAAUAUUGGCACCCGUAUUUUUAUUUGUUAAAUUUUUAUUUGUUAAAUAUUUGUUAAACUUUUAUUUGAUAUACUUAUGCCAAAACUUGUUCAUUAUUUAUGUGAAAUUCAAGUUUAAUUUGAAUUAAAUAUUGGCACCUGUAUUUUUAUUUGUUAAAUCUUGCCACCCUCAAGUACAAACGCCUCUGUACCUCAGAGGCAUAAGAAUGUGCAAAUGGGAUUCAUGCAACUCACAACCUAGACCUCCCUCUCUUUUCUAUCUUCAAAAACCAAUGUUCUUUUACUGUUAAGAACCUUGGGAGAGAGGGAAAUCACAAGGUAGUCUUAAGCAGAUUACUACACUCUUGUAGUGAUAACAUUUAAUUAAAAAAUUGAUUUAUUUUUCUUCUGACUUAAAAGCAAAAUGAAACAAAACAAAACAAAACCCCAAACCACAAACUCAGGCCUCCUCUCUGGGCUUCCCUGCACACAGGCUGAUGUUAACUGCACUGAGCACCCUGGGAACAUCAGUCCAACUGCAGGCACUGGAAUCGCUGUAGACCAUGACGGACAAUGGCUCCCAUACACACAGUAUUCCAGUCUUGGGAGUGAAAAUGGCCCCGUGCAGCCUCACGGCCCAUGGGUUUAGGCUGAACUUUGAGACCAUUUCUUUUUAUUCACACCUGGGAUGGCCUAGCCCAACUGAAACCAAGCAACCUGGACGCCCUAUCAGUGGCUGUGAAAUCAUAGGCCAAAUUCCUCUGUGGCAAAGACUUCCUGUAAAAAAUACCGUUAAGGCCUAGCCAGGUCCGAAAUGAAUAAAUGAAUAAUCAUUGAUUAUUGAUCAAUGCUUUUUAAUCAGUGCCCUCUGUGAAAAGGAACUAUCCCUCCCCACAAAACUCUUUUAUGAAUAGAACCAGAAUGGUUGAAGGGUGGUUUCAUUCUUUUUUUUAAGAGAUGGGGUCUUGCUGUGUUGCCCAGGCUAGUCUUAAACUCCUGGCCUCACGUGAUCCUCCUGCCUCAGCCUCGGCCACUGAGCCUGGCUCAUUCACUUUUUACCUACUUUUGGAACCUCAAAUGGUAACUAACUUACCAAGUGAUUGGCAUAGCUACCAAGGUGAAAUGUUAAAUUUAAUGCAGUGUCACAUCGUUCUUCCAGAUUCGUGGUGAGUAGGAUUAUCCAACAAUC
rnacentral:lncRNA from 1 species